rnacentral:rRNA from 1 species
GAUGAACGCUGGCGGCGUGCUUAACACAUGCAAGUCGAACGAAGCACCUUGAUUUGAUUCUUCGGAUGAAGUUCUUGGUGACUGAGUGGCGGACGGGUGAGUAACGCGUGGGUAACCUGCCUCAUACAGGGGGAUAACAGUUAGAAAUGACUGCUAAUACCGCAUAAGACCACAGCACCGCAUGGUGCAGGGGUACAAACUCCGGUGGUAUGAGAUGGACCCGCGUCUGAUUAGGUAGUUGGUGGGGUAACGGCCUACCAAGCCGACGAUCAGUAGCCGAGCUGAGAAGGUGACCGGCCACAUUGGGACUGAGACACGGCCCAAACUCCUACGGGAGGGAGCAGUGGGGAAUAUUGCACAAUGGAGGAGACCCUGAUGCAGCGACGCCGCGUGAGCGAUGAAGUAUUUCGGUAUGUAAAGCUCUAUCAGCAGGGAAGAAAAUGACGGUACCUGACUAAGAAGCACCGGCUAAAUACGUG